AGACGUAGGGGGCUAGCGUUGUCCGGAAUCACUGGGCGUAAAGGGCGUGUAGGCGGCUUGGCAAGUCAGUGGUGUAAGACCUGGGCUCAACCGAGGUAUUGCCAUUGAAACUGCCUGGCUUGAGGGUAGAAGAGGAGUGUGGAAUUCCCGGUGUAGCGGUGAAAUGCGUAGAGAUCGGGAGGAACACCAGUGGCGAAGGCGACACUCUGGUCUACACCUGACGCUGAGGCGCGAAAGCUAGGGGAGCAAACAGGAUUAGAUACCCUGGUAGUCCUAGCCGUAAACGAUGGGCACUAGGUGUAGGGGGUUUAGAUACCUUCUGUGCCGUAGCUAACGCAUUAAGUGCCCCGCCUGGGGAGUACGGUCGCAAGGCUGAA
rnacentral:rRNA from 1 species